rnacentral:rRNA from 1 species
AUUGAACGCUAGCGGCAUGCCUUACACAUGCAAGUCGAACGGCAGCGGGGGAGCUUGCUCCCGCCGGCGAGUGGCGAACGGGUGAGUAAUACAUCGGAACGUACCCAGUAGCGGGGGAUAGCCCGGCGAAAGCCGGAUUAAUACCGCAUACGCCCUACGGGGGAAAGGGGGGGAUCGCAAGACCUCUCACUAUUGGAGCGGCCGAUGGCUGAUUAGCUAGUUGGUGGGGUAACGGCCUACCAAGGCGACGAUCAGUAGCUGGUCUGAGAGGACGACCAGCCACACUGGGACUGAGACACGGCCCAGACUCCUACGGGAGGCAGCAGUGGGGAAUUUUGGACAAUGGGCGAAAGCCUGACCCAGCAAUGCCGCGUGUGCGAAGAAGGCCUUCGGGUUGUAAAGCACUUUUGUCAGGGAAGAAAUCGUUUGGGUUAAUACCCCGAGCAGUUGACGGUACCUGAAGAAUAAGCACCGGCUAACUACGUGCCAGCCGCCGCCGUAA